ACGGGUCCUCGGAAUCUCCAUACGGGCAGGGCAGCAGUGGGGCAAUAUUGGACAAUGGGGGAAACCCUGAUCCAGCGACGCCGUGUUGGGUGAAGGAAGGCCUGGGGGGUUGUACAAGCCCUUUUACAGG
rnacentral:rRNA from 1 species